AGCGAACGCUGGCGGCAGGCCUAACACAUGCAAGUCGAACGGACCCUUCGGGGUUAGUGGCGGACGGGUGAGUAACACGUGGGGACGUGCCUUUUGGUUCGGAACAACUCAGGGAAACUUGAGCUAAUACCGAAUGUGCCCUUCGGGGGAAAGAUUUAUCGCCAUUAGAGCGGCCCGCGUCUGAUUAGCUUGUUGGUGAGGUAAUGGCUCACCAAGGCGACGAUCAGUAGCUGGUCUGAGAGGAUGAUCAGCCACAUUGGGACUGAGACACGGCCCAAACUCCUACGGGAGGCAGCAGUGGGGAAUCUUGCGCAAUGGGCGAAAGCCUGACGCAGCCAUGCCGCGUGAAUGAUGAAGGUCUUAGGAUUGUAAAAUUCUUUCACCGGGGACGAUAAUGACGGUACCCGGAGAAGAAGCCCCGGCUAACUUCGUGCCAGCCGCCGCAGUAAGAC
rnacentral:rRNA from 1 species